UGAGGAAUAUUGGUCAAUGGGCGCAAGCCUGAACCAGCCAUGCCGCGUGCAGGAAGACGGCGCUAUGCGUUGUAAACUGCUUUUGUACGAGGGUAAUUUUGGGUACGUGUACCUAAUUGAAAGUAUCGUACGAAUAAGGAUCGGCUAACUCCGUGCCAGCAGCCGCGGUAAUACGGAGGAUUCGAGCGUUAUCCGGAUUUAUUGGGUUUAAAGGGUGCGUAGGCGGUUCGGUAAGUUAGUCGUUAAAUCGUGGGGCUCAACCCCACAAUGGCGAUUGAUACUGUCGGGCUGGAGAUAGGAUGCUGUGGGCGGAAUGUGUAGUGUAGCGGUGAAAUGCUUAGAUAUUACACAGAACACCGAUUGCGAAGGCAGCUCACAAAUCCUUAUCUGACGCUGAGGCACGAAAGCGUGGGGAUCAAACA
rnacentral:rRNA from 1 species